rnacentral:misc_RNA from 1 species
GUCGGUCAACGAGGUAGUUCACGCGUGCCGUAUUUUCACGAAAUAAGCGGAUUUAAAGUGUUUUGUAUUUACCAAAAACUGCCAGUUUUAUGUCAGUGCGUAAGAACUUCUCUUUCGUGUAAAAAUUACAGCAAUUGAUUAAUAUGGCGGCAAAUCUCAACAAGAUCAUAACGAAGCCACAAAACCGUGGUUUUAUAGUCCGAAAGCCUGUAAAGACAACAGCCGAACAAGAAAAGGCUCUACGGGAUCAGCUUCACAUUGAGAUCGAGAACAAAUCUAAAGCUUGCUCCAACCCCACUUACGACUGUUCGAUACCACGAGUAGAAGGUUUUGAAUUUUGCAUCCGACAUAUCCUUCAGGAUCCCCGUGCCCCAUACAAACAGUGUGCCUACACAUAUCCGAGUAAUGGCAAGAAAUGUUUGCAACCAGCUCCAAAAUACGACGGGAAAAAAGAACCUGGACUCACAAACUAUUGUUUUGAACAUAGUCGUUUGAUACAAUUGACAAAAACACGGAAUACAGUGGGAAAGUACAAACAAGUUGAAACAAAUGAAGCUUUUAUGAAUGAGCUUACACAUCAUAUUAAAAUUGAUGGUUCGUCGACAAAUUUUACUGAGACAGAUGAGGAGAUUGAUGUUGUGUCUGCUAAUGCUGAUCCUUUCAUACAUUAUGUUCAUUCGGCAGAUUUUGAAAAUAUUGGGAAGGACGAGCCCCCGAAACGCAGACUUUUGGACUAUGCCUCAGAUUCUUCGUCAGAUGAAGACAUGCCCACAACAAGCAAUACGUGGCGAUCACAUGAAUGGGACAAUUCCGAUAAUGAAAGCGUCGAUUCCCAAAACGAGGAUUUACUCAAGCACGCUGGUAUUUACACUACCGAGGAAGCUACAAUGAUAACCAAACAAAAAAUGAUGCGCUUGCAAGUUCUCUACAUGGAGCAGAUUCUACGUUUGCAGCAUUUAUUGAAAGAAAAACGAAGGAAAUAUUUACAGGCCAUCAAAAAGGAGCGCGAAACGCUAUGCAGUAUCCAUGACCAACCCAAAGACACACCUCAAGAAAGGAAACUGUACCGCAAACUCAAAGCUCUAAAUCGUUACCACAAACGAUAUGGAAUGGAAGCAGUUCUCUAUAGAAAGUACAAAGAAAAACGUGAUCGUGCCACAGAAGGCUUGAGUUACAAGCCGCCAUCAUACCAAAAGUGCAUAUUUUCAGAAGGUGGAGUGAAGUGCGGUGAUCGCGCUAUUCCGAGUUGUAAAUAUUGUAAAAAACACAUCCUGGAAGACAAGAAACAAGUCCUGUUCAGGGCUUGCGGUGUCGAAAAGAGUGGGAUAGUUUGCCAAGAACCAGUGCCCAAUAUUUUCGAGGAUGCAACUUGUGUAUUGCACUUGGAUCUGCCGCCGGCAAAAGCAUAUACCCAGAAGUUUAGAAAAGUGCAAGAAACGAAAAAUACGGACAAUAACACAAUCACAGACUAUGAGAAUAUAGAAAAAUGAACUAACUUGUCUGUUGUUCAGAAAUGCUUUAUUGAAUUUGUUUGUUCAUUCAUUUACUCCUUUCUAACCCGAGUUUUUCAACUACGAAUACAGCAUUUCUUCACAUGUUAAAUAACAUUUUGGUCGCAAAUUUUACCCCAAAACAAGUCUCACAGUCAUGAAAUAUGUGAAUUCAAGAUGAAGUCUAAAUAGAAAUAAAAGUAUUCAAGCAAAAAUAACAAACAAUAUUAAAAACAAAUAACAUGUCCGAGAUACAGUGGAAUGCAACACUCAAAGAAUUAUCCGUCUGAACAAAUUUUCAGAAAUUUGAAUCAGAAACAGAAGAAGAGGAGGAAGCUAGUGACACAAUCAUAAAGAAAGCCGACGAUGAUAUAAAACUAGAAACUGAAGAAAAUAUAUCGUCAGCGACAGAUAUAACGGCAGCCCAAUUGGUGGGGACAG